AUAGCAGGUCACCUUAUCGCUCUGGUGUUUACACCAGGGAGGAAAGUCCGGACACCAUAGUGCGGCAUAGCGGGUAACACCCGUCCUCCGAUCUAUCGGAGCGGACAAGUGCAACAGAAAGUAUGUACAGAUAAUGCUGUAGUGAAAUCAGGUAAACUCUAUGUGGUGAAACGUCAUGUAUAUCAGUGUUUGAGGGCUGCACGCCCGAGCUGAAGGGUAGGCGGUUUGAGUUUUUGGGUAACCAGGAAUCUAGAUAAAUGAUAAGGAAGUCUUGUAAAAGACUACAGAAUCCGGCUUAUGACCUGCUUUUUCA
rnacentral:RNase_P_RNA from 1 species